GGAUUCUCGAGUGAAGUUUGCGCUGCUGUGUGUGCGGUACGUGUUAGGAUGUCAGUGUCUUCGUUUUGCAUUAUGACCCCUUAUUUUGCUUCGUUUUGUGUGAAUUUUACUUGGUGGUGAGCUUAUUUUGGGACUCGUCUGUAUAGUUUGUUCCCGAGUCGGGCAGCCAUGUUUUUGUGUAUAUCCCUUUUUGGUGUUUUGCCUGCUCUGUUUCCUUUGCC